CGUUCCCGGGCCUUGUACACACCGCCCGUCACACCAUGGGAGUUGGUUUUACCUUAAGGCGGCGGGCUAACCCGCAAGGGAGGCAGCCGACCACGGUAAGGUCGGAGCGACUGGGGUG
rnacentral:rRNA from 1 species